rnacentral:rRNA from 1 species
UUUUGGCAUAUCAAAAGCGGAGGAAAAGAAACCAACAGGGAUUGCCCUAGUAACGGCGAGUGAAGCGGCAACAGCUCAAAUUUGAAAUCUGGCCUCUUUUGGGGUCCGAGUUGUAAUUUGCAGAGGGCGCUUUGGAGUCGGCAGCGGUCCAAGUUCCUUGGAACAGGACGUCACAGAGGGUGAGAAUCCCGUACGUGGUCGCUAGCCUUCUCCGUGUAAAGCCCCUUCGACGAGUCGAGUUGUUUGGGAAUGCAGCUCUAAAUGGGAGGUAAAUUUCUUCUAAAGCUAAAUAUUGGCCAGAGACCGAUAGCGCACAAGUAGAGUGAUCGAAAGAUGAAAAGCACUUUGGAAAGAGAGUCAAAAAGCACGUGAAAUUGUUGAAAGGGAAGCGCUUGCAGCCAGACUUGCCUGUAGUUGCUCAUCCGGGCUUUUGCCCGGUGCACUCUUCUAUAGGCAGGCCAGCAUCAGUUUGGGCGGUUGGAUAAAGGUCUCUGUCAUGUACCUCUCUUCGGGGAGAACUUAUAGGGGAGACGCCAUGCAACCAGCUCAGACUGAGGUCCGCGCAUUCGCUAGGAUGCUGGCGUAAUGGCUGUAAGCGGCCCGUCUUGAAACACGGACCCAAAAAA